rnacentral:rRNA from 1 species
GAGACUCUGUGCGCGUGCAUAUCAAUAAGCGGAGGAAAAGAAACUAACAAGGAUUCCCCUAGUAACGGCGAGUGAAGCGGGAAGAGCUCAAAUUUGAAAUCUUCAAGGGUUCUACCUUUACGAAUUGUAGUUUAAAGAAGUGUUUUCUGUUGGAGUUUAGGUAAAAGUUCUUUGGAAUAGGACAUCAUAGAGGGUGAGAAUCCCGUAUUUGGCCAUUAUUUCCAACUUUGUGAUACACUUUCAAAGAGUCGGAUUGUUUGGGAAUGCAGUCCAAAAUGGGUGGUAAAUUUCAUCUAAAGCUAAAUACUGGCGAGAGACCGAUAGCGAACAAGUACCGUGAGGGAAAGAUGAAAAGAACUUUGAAAAGAGAGUUAAACAGUACGUGAAAUUGUCAAAAGGGAAGCGUUUGACACCAGUGUUGUUUUCUCGAAAAUCAAUUAAAAAUGGUGGGAUUUUGUGUUGUAUUGACUUUAUCAGCUUUCUGCACUUUUUUCCUAUCUUUUUUAAUGCACUUUUCGUUUAACAAGUCAACAUCAAUUUCUUUUGUUGUAAAAGGGUCAUUGGAAGGUGGCUUUCUUUUCGGAGAAAGUGUUUAUAGCCUUUGGCUUCUGCAAUCGGAGAGAUUGAGGUCUGCAGCGUAGAUCCUUCGGGGUUAGAUACAUUUGUGCUAAGUUAUAGCCUUUCAUAGACAACUUGUUGACUAUGAUCAGUCAUGUAGCUUACUCGCUUAUGCUAUUUUACCUACGCUUAGGAUGUUGACAGCAGUAUAGACUGU